rnacentral:lncRNA from 10 species
UGAUCUGAAUGCUCUUAUUGGUUCAGAGAUGGACAUGUGACCCUCUCUUGGCCAAUCAGAGGCUUUCCUGCUGGAAGGGCUGCUGGAAGCCAUCUUCGCACGGUUCUUCCCUUGGCUUUAGAGCCCCGAAGCGCUCUUUGACUUGAGCUGCUUUGCAUUCUCUCUGUCCUGCCAUCGAGAAAGUUCUGAGCGGCUCAGAAGUAAUACUGACACUCUAUCCCUCCGAGGAAUUCUGCCCCAGACAGCAGAGAGAUGGGGGGCAGGGGACACAUGGCCAUGAGGACAGAGAGCCCUGAGAGGGACUGGGGAAUCGAGACAUCGUUUUCAAAUAAUUGCAGCAAUCAAGAGAGACUGUACAUCCCAUCCCAGACAAAGGGAGACCUAAAAUGAGAGAAUGGAGCUGGGCGCAGUGGUUCACGCCUGUAAUCCCUGCACUUUGGGAGGCCGAGGCAGGCAAAUCACCUGAGGUCAGGAGUUCCAGACCGGCUGGGCAACAUGGUGAAACCCUGUCUCUACUAAAAAUAUGAAAAAAAGUUAGCCAGGCGUCCGCGUGCCUGUAAUUCCAGCUACUCAGGAGACUGAGGCAGGAGAAUCGCUUGAACCUGGGAGGCAGAGGUUGCAGUGAGCCGAGAUCACGCCACUGCACUCCAGCCUGGGCGAUAAGAGUGAAACUCUGUCUCAAAAUAAAUAAAUAAAUAAAUAAAUAAAUAAUCUUAAAAAAAAUAAAAAGAAAACUAGAGAAUGAUGACUUCUGUUUACCAUGUGCCUGGUUUCCUGUCCUGUCUGUGAUCCUGUUGCUGUUUGCUGUCAACUGUUCCUGCUUCAGUGAUAUUAGAAGGGUUCAAGGAGAAUGUGGGUCCCCUCCUUGCCUGCUCUGGGCCUUCCCCUGUUUCUGGCCUGUUUCAUCUCCACCCCCGUUGGAUCUGAGCUCCUUGAGGGUGGCCCCUACACCCUGCAGUGCUGAGCAUUGGGAGGUGUGAGGGUUGCUGAAGGCUGGGGGUUGGUGCUUUUCUUCAUUCAGCAGUCAUCAUUUAUUGAGCACCCACUGUUUGCCAGCUCCUUGGCUAAGCAUUUCAAGCCCUGUUCCAUGGGCUCAGUCUUCCAGGGGCUGGCCGCUAACUACGCAUCGAUUGAUUUCCAGAAGGACAGAAGCACAUAGCAGGGCCUGGUCUCCACUGGGGGUGCCAGGAGCUG